AUUUUUUUCUGGCAUAACUGAUAUGCGAGUUCAUUUUAUGGUCCGUUCCGAGAAGCAUUGGACUCAAAUCCACGUUUUGGAGAUAAAAAAACGUAUCAGAUGAACCCAGCAAACUACAGAGAGGCAUUAGUUGAGGCUGAAGGAGCUGAUAUUCUUUUGGUGAAACCUGGUCUUCCUUAUUUGGAUAUCAUAAGACUUCUCGGAGAUCAUUCUCCUUUGCCUAUUGCUGCAUACCAGGUAUUCUCUUCAACUUUUCACGGGUGUGCUGCAUUAACUAAUAUUCCUGUCAUUGUUUUCAUUCAUGACUUAGAACCUUUUCUUUGAUAUGAUUUCUCCAUAAUCAUCAAAAGUCAAAAGUAAACAUUGGGAAACAUUCAUAUAGCCAAUAGCGCUUUCAACAACUCCUGCACCAGGUCCUUGGCUUGCGGAAUUUCUAUAAAUUUUUUCUUUUUUCCUUUACAAGAUCAGAGGAAUUGGUUUUUAACUACAGUGCCUGAUUCAUGCUCAUAGGGAAUGUGUGUAGUUUACACUUCAUAGGAUGCAGGAUGAAGAAAGAGAGAAUGGCAUGAGAAAAGUAAAAAAGGGAAAAAACAGUAAAAUGAACACCAUUCUUGUACAAUGUACUCAAGAUUAUGUCUUUAUUAGCAAUUAAAUUUUCCACAAUUUGCUUCGAAUAUGGUGUGUGGUUGUGGUGGAUGUUCUUUAAGAUGGUUCCCUUCUUCUAAUUAAAUAUACACAACACAUAUCUACAUGUUUGCCUAUAUGCAGCAUUGCAAGGAAUGGGAUUUGUGAUUUGCAUUUCAUAACUUAGCUAUGGGGAAAAUGAAUAGGAAAAGAAAAGAAAAGGUGGCCUGCUUCUAGUUAUAUAUACAGUGACACAUAUCUACAUGUUUGCCUAUAUGUUGUACUGCAAGGAAUGGGACUUAUUGCAUUUCAAAACUUAGCUAUGAUGAAAAUGAAUAGGAAAAGAAAUGAAAAGAUGGCCUGCUUUUAGUCAUACAUACACAGACACACAUCUACAUGUUUGCCUCUAUGUUGCAUUGCAAGGAAUGAGACUUAUGAUUUGCAUUUCAAAACUUAGCUAUUAGGAAAAUGAAUAGGAAAAGAAAACAAAAGGUGGCCAGCUCUUAUCUGCCUUGACAUUUUUCUUGACAUUCUUAUUUUCCUUUCUAAAUGGAAAAUUUUUAUAAUGCAUCAAAGUAUAAAUUUCUAGCAGACUUGGUCAAACACAAAUUUGUUCUGGAAAUGUACUUUCUUUUUCUGUUUUCUCCUAAAAUGCUUACUUUCAGUUUCCUGUUCUCUAUCAAUUUUUUAUUUUUAUUAGU